GGGCGGGGCUGGCGCACCGUCUCUACAGCAACGCCUUAGCCAGAGGGUGCUCAGGUUUUCGGGACCGCGCGUGGCGCUCUCAGAUGACGUCACACACCCGCGGCGCUUGCGUGACGUAAGCCCUGCUCAGUAAGAAGGCUCCGCAGGUCGGCAGGUAGGAAGAGCACUACCUCGCACACUGCGCAUGCGCCACCUCGGGUGGCCUCAAGGUUGCUGUCGGGAGUUGGGUUUGAGAGAACACCACCACUAAUGGGAAGACUGCCCCCUGACCGGCACAUGGCCUCAGCAUUCAUCCACAGAUGCUCCUCAAAUUGUUUUAAAAACAGCUUUUUUUAAAAGCUGUUUGUCUAUGAAGAUUAAAUGAGUUAAUAAUAUAAGCAAAGCACUUUGCAUGGCUACUGGGCACGGUGGUUCAUGCCUGUAAUUCCAGCACUUUGGGAGGCCGAAGCAGGUGGAUCACCUGAGGUCAGGAGUUCAAGACCAGCCUGAUCAACAUGGCGAAACCCUGUCUCUAUUAAAAAUACAAAAAAAAUAGCCGGGCAUGGUGGCACGUGCCUGUAAUCCCAGCUACUUGGGAGGCUAAGGCAGGAGAAUCGCUUGAACCUGGGAGGCAGAGGUUGCAGUGAGCCGAGACCUCGCCGUUGCACUCCAGCCUGGUUGACAGAGCAAGACUCUGUCUCAAAAAACAAAAAAACCCCAGCUUUUGUCCAGAGGUUGCUUUUUGUGGGUCUGUACGCUGAGGCCAAGUUCUAUGUAAGCAGAGCCCUCCCACCUCACCUCCAAACAAUGCCUCUAAACCAUCACAAUCUGAAAGGAAAAUAAAUCCCUUUCUUCAAUGGUGACCUGAAGCUAGCCAAGGACCGGGUGCUGGCAGGUGGCCUGCGAGACUGGGUCGGAUCCCGGGUUACUGUCUGAGGAGGGAUGCCGUGCUGUAAGGGUUGGGGAGCCAGUGUCUGGCUUCCUUGUCACCACAAGACCUGUGGUUUCCAGCUCUGUCUGCAUCCAGGUCCCACUAACCAACAGCAGGAGAGAAAACAGUUGUGCACACAGGCGGACGCGCACACGCGCACCUGGCCCCCCAGACGUGCACAGCCCUCAGAGGAAGUGGAGCACCAGAUGUUCUGGGUUUCCUGUUCGACGCUUCCACAGCUGGUCGAGUCUGUGGUUGUGGUUUGUCUGUCUCGGGCUCAUGUGAGAGACAAAAGCUGGGCUGACGGGAAACCUCUUCUCUCGGCCCCCACUCCCCAGCUCUGACUGAUUAGGAAACCUGGCAGGUCAGAAAUUUCCUGAAACACCCAGAGCUGGAUUCUCCCAAGAAGAAGCUGAACCCCCAACUCCCAUCCCUGAGGAGCAGCCCCUGGGCUGAUGAUCAGGACUUACAGAACCUGGGGCGAUGGAAACCUCUACAAAUAUCCCAUUUAGAAAGACCGCCAGCCCUGCCAACAGAAUGAAACGGAGGCCAGGUUGCUAUGGUCUCUACUCCAAUGCCUGACAUUGAGCCGCUGCUGCAAAACACUCAGCACAUGAAGGAAUGAAUGAGGAACAGAGAACUUCACCUUUGGGGGUUGGGUGUACAAGCCCCAACUGGGCCCCAAGUCCCAUAAAUAGCUUUGGAUUCCAACAUACAAGCAUUUGACGCAGCGAGGUGCUGCCGACUUGCUCUGUGACUUGGAGCAAGUCAUUUAGCCUCUCUGGGCCUGGUGUCCUCAUCUGCAGAAUGGAGAUGAUAAUAUCUACUUCACAAAGGUGUGAAGGCCCUGUGAGACACCGCAUGUGGAUUUCCUCGACAUUGUUUGCCCAUCGUAACUGCUCCAGAGAGGCUGGGCUCCCUUUUCUCGUUGCAACACUGCUGUUUAUUUCAGGAGAUACUCUAAAAGGGAAGCAAGCUAAAACAAAGAACAACCAAAAACACUGAUCCCGGGACAACUGCCCGGCAGGACAGCAGAGCAAGGGUACUUGGUGCUCUUCGUUGGGGGGAUGUUGGGAGAAGGGGCUGGAGCCAUCCCAGGGUCUCCAGGCUCUGGAAGGGAGCACCCCAUGUCCUCCUCUGGGUGUGGAAUAGGGUGAGUGUCUUAGGGGUGGAGAGAGAACAGGCAGAGUGUGCUCUCACCCCUUAGCUCUGUAGUGAUUUUAAUGAUUAAGGCUACUGUUCGGUCUGCAUUUGGACCUGAGCAACAGGGACCCCUGCCCAGAGGUCCAUCCUUCAGCAGCGUGCACUGCAUCCCCCUCCACUGCAGCUGACUCUAUGAGAUGAAGCAUCUGUCGCUCAGUGUAGCCAUCAGGUCCACUGCCCCUGAAAUAUGACUGACUAGGUUCAAAUGUUGACUCUGACACUUAGAAGCUGUGCCACCUUGGGGCAAGUUACUUCAUCUCUCUGUGCCUUACUUUCUUCCUUUAUAAAAUGGGUAAAAUAAUAACCACACCAUCGGUUGUCUAUGAAGAUUAAAUGAGUUGAUAAUAUAUGCAAAGCACUUAGCAUGGCUACUGGCACAAGGGUCAGUAAACGUUAACUGUUCCACACA
rnacentral:lncRNA from 1 species